GUGAGACAGUUUGGUCCCUAUCUUCCGUGGGCGCUGCAAGAUUGAGAGAGCCUGCUCCUAGUACGAGAGGACCGGAGUGGACGCACCUCUGGUGCAUCGGUUGUCACGCCAGUGGCAUAGCCGAGUAGCUAAGUGCGGAAGGGAUAACCGCUGAAAGCAUCUAAGCGGGAAACUCGUCUCAAGAUGAGUCUUGCCGGGGCCUUGAGCCCCCUGAAGAGUCGUUCGAGACCAGGACGUUGAUAGGCCGGGUGUGGAAGCGCAGUAAUGCGUUGAGCUGACCGGUACUAAUUGCUCGUGAGGCUUGACCCU
rnacentral:rRNA from 1 species